rnacentral:rRNA from 1 species
GGGUUGUGAGGUUAAGCGACUAAGCGUACACGGUGGAUGCCCUGGCAGUCAGAGGCGAUGAAGGACGUGCUAAUCUGCGAUAAGCGUCGGUGAGGUGAUAUGAACCGUUAUAACCGGCGAUUUCCGAAUGGGGAAACCCAGUGUGAUUCGUCACACUAUCAUUAACUGAAUCCAUAGGUUAAUGAGGCGAACCGGGGGAACUGAAACAUCUAAGUACCCCGAGGAAAAGAAAUCAACCGAGAUUCCCCCAGUAGCGGCGAGCGAACGGGGAGGAGCCCAGAGCCUGAAUCAGUGUGUGUGUUAGUGGAAGCGUCUGGAAAGGCGCGCGAUACAGGGUGACAGCCCCGUACACAAAAAUGCACAUACUGUGAGCUCGAUGAGUAGGGCGGGACACGUGGUAUCCUGUCUGAAUAUGGGGGGACCAUCCUCCAAGGCUAAAUACUCCUGACUGACCGAUAGUGAACCAGUACCGUGAGGGAAAGGCGAAAAGAACCCCGGCGAGGGGAGUGAAAAAGAACCUGAAACCGUGUACGUACAAGCAGUGGGAGCCUCUUUUAUGGGGUGACUGCGUACCUUUUGUAUAAUGGGUCAGCGACUUAUAUUCUGUAGCAAGGUUAACCGAAUAGGGGAGCCGAAGGGAAACCGAGUCUUAACUGGGCGUUAAGUUGCAGGGUAUAGACCCGAAACCCGGUGAUCUAGCCAUGGGCAGGUUGAAGGUUGGGUAACACUAACUGGAGGACCGAACCGACUAAUGUUGAAAAAUUAGCGGAUGACUUGUGGCUGGGGGUGAAAGGCCAAUCAAACCGGGAGAUAGCUGGUUCUCCCCGAAAGCUAUUUAGGUAGCGCCUCGUGAAUUCAUCUCCGGGGGUAGAGCACUGUUUCGGCAAGGGGGUCAUCCCGACUUACCAACCCGAUGCAAACUGCGAAUACCGGAGAAUGUUAUCACGGGAGACACACGGCGGGUGCUAACGUCCGUCGUGAAGAGGGAAACAACCCAGACCGCCAGCUAAGGUCCCAAAGUCAUGGUUAAGUGGGAAACGAUGUGGGAAGGCCCAGACAGCCAGGAUGUUGGCUUAGAAGCAGCCAUCAUUUAAAGAAAGCGUAAUAGCUCACUGGUCGAGUCGGCCUGCGCGGAAGAUGUAACGGGGCUAAACCAUG